AGUGAACGCUGGCGGCAGGCCUAACACAUGCAAGUCGAGCGGCAGCGCGGGGGCAACCCUGGCGGCGAGCGGCGGACGGGCGAGGAAUUCGUCGGAAUCUGCCUUUUUGUGGGGGAUAACGUAGGGAAACAUACGCUAAUACCGCAUACGUCCUACGGGUGAAAGUGGGGGACCGCAAGGCCUCACGCAGAAAGAUGAGCCGACGACCGAUUAGCUAGUUGGUGGGGUAAAGGCCCACCAAGGCGACGAUCGGUAGCUGGUCUGAGAGGAUGAUCAGCCACACUGGGACUGAGACACGGCCCAGACUCCUACGGGAGGCAGCAGUGGGGAAUAUUGGACAAUGGGCGCAAGCCUGGUCCAGCCAUGCCGCGUGUGUGAAGAAGGCCUUCGGGUUGUAAAGCACUUUUGUCCGGAAAGAAAUCCCUGGAGCUAAUACCUUCGGGGGAUGACGGUACCGGAAGAAUAAGCACCGGCUAACUUCGUG
rnacentral:rRNA from 1 species